CCUACGGGUGGCAGCAGUGGGGAAUAUUGGGCAAUGGGCGCAAGCCUGACCCAGCAACGCCGCGUGAAGGAAGAAGGCUUUCGGGUUGUAAACUUCUUUUCUGAGGGACGAAGAAAGUGACGGUACCCCAGGAAUAAGCCACGGCUAACUACGUGCCAGCAGCCGCGGUAAUACGUAGGUGGCAAGCGUUAUCCGGAUUUAUUGGGUGUAAAGGGGGUGUAGGCGGGAAAGCAAGUCAGGUGUGAAAACUCAGGGCUCAACCCUGAGCCUGCAUUGGAAACUGUUUUUCUUGAGUGCUGGAGAGGCAAUCGGAAUUCCGUGUGUAGCGGUGAAAUGCGUAGAUAUACGGAGGAACACCAGUGGCGAAGGCGGAUUACUGGACAGUAACUGACGCUGAGGCGCGAAAGCGUGGGGAGCAAACAGGAUUAGAUACCCUUGUAGUC
rnacentral:rRNA from 1 species